CCUACGGGAGGCUGCAGUGGGGGAUAUUGCACAAUGGGGGAAACCCUGAUGCAGCGACGCCGCGUGGGUGAAGAAGCGCCUCGGCGCGUAAAGCCCUUUCAGCAGGGAAGAAAAUGACGGUACCUGAAGAAGAAGCCCCGGCUAACUACGUGCCAGCAGCCGCGGUAAUACGUAGGGGGCAAGCGUUCUCCGGAUUUACUGGGUGUAAAGGGGUCGCAGGCGGCGGUGCAAGCCAGGAGUGAAAGCCCGGGGCCCAACCCCGGGACUGCUCUUGGAACUGCGUGGCUAGAGUGCAGGAGGGGCAGGCGGAAUUCCUGGUGUAGCGGUGAAAUGCGUAGAUAUCAGGAGGAACACCGGUGGCGAAGGCGGCCUGCUGGACUGCAACUGACGUUGAGGCGCGAAAGCGUGGGGAGCAAACAGGAUUAGAUACCCUGGUAGUC
rnacentral:rRNA from 1 species